AGAGUUUGAUCCUGGCUCAGAUUGAACGCUGGCGGCAUGCCUUACACAUGCAAGUCGAACGGCAGCACGGGAGCAAUCCUGGUGGCGAGUGGCGAACGGGUGAGUAAUAUAUCGGAACGUGCCCAGUCGUGGGGGAUAACGCAGCGAAAGCUGUGCUAAUACCGCAUACGAUCUCUGGAUGAAAGCGGGGGACUCGCAAGAGCCUCGCGCGAUUGGAGCGGCCGAUAUCAGAUUAGCUAGUUGGUGGGGUAAAAGCCCACCAAGGCGACGAUCUGUAGCUGGUCUGAGAGGACGACCAGCCACACUGGAACUGAGACACGGUCCAGACUCCUACGGGAGGCAGCAGUGGGGAAUAUUGGACAAUGGGCGCAAGCCUGAUCCAGCCAUGCCGCGUGAGUGAUGAAGGCCUUAGGGUUGUAAAGCUCUUUUGUACGGGAAGAUAAUGACGGUACCGUAAGAAUAAGCCCCGGCUAACUUCGUGCCAGCAGCCGCGGUAAUACGAAGGGGGCUAGCGUUGCUCGGAAUCACUGGGCGUAAAGGGUGCGUAGGCGGUCUUAUAAGCCAGAUGUGAAAGCCCACGGCUCAACCGUGGAAGUGCAUCUGGAACUGUAAGACUUGAGUACUGGAGGGGAGUGUGGAAUUCCCGGUGUAGAGGUGAAAUUCGUAGAUAUCGGGAGGAAUACCGGUGGCGAAGGCGACACUCUGGACAGAUACUGACGCUGAGGCGCGAAAGCGUGGGGAGCAAACAGGAUUAGAUACCCUGGUAGUCC
rnacentral:rRNA from 1 species